rnacentral:piRNA from 1 species
UGCCCAACACAUCAGUUAAUCCUGGAAGC